GUAGGGGGCAAGCGUUGUCCGGAUUUAUUGGGCGUAAAGCGCGUGUAGGUGGCCAAGUAGGUCAGCUGUGAAAACUUGAGGCUCAACCUCAAGCUGUCGGUUGAAACCACUUGGCUAGAGUCCGGAAGAGGAGAGUGGAAUUCCUGGUGUAGCGGUGAAAUGCGCAGAUAUCGGGAGGAACACCUGUGGCGAAGGCGACCCCCUGGUUGGAUACUGACGCUGAGACGCGAAAGCGUGGGGAGCAAACAGGAUUAGAUACCCUGGUAGUCCACGCUGUAAACGAUGGGCACUAGGUGUCCGAGGUAUUGACCCCUUGGGUGCCGCAGCUAACGCAUUAAGUGCCCCGCCUGGGGAGUACGGUCGCAAGAUUA
rnacentral:rRNA from 1 species